UUCGAGAUGGGUCUGUCUGCGGACCGCAAGAGAGGGGCGUGCCGUUAAGGGGCGUAACUUUUAGCAGGGGGCGUAACUUUAAGUUGUCCAAGUUACACAGAACCACGCGAGACGUCAGGACGAGAUGUUGUCAUUCUGUCUUCUCUUCUGCCCGCAUAGAGAUACGGUGGCUAAAGGCGUUAUUAAAGUUGCUCAUCCAAGCGUUUGUUCGUACCAAUUGUAAUGGACGGGAAGCCGACUGACGAACAUCCUUUUCCUGAGAAAUGGUUCGGCUACGACACAUGUUAAGAAGUCACGCCAGGGGCUGAAUUACGUUCGACCGUUUCAGCUGCAUUGAUGUGAAGUGAUGCAGUGGACAACUUGUGAGGGUGAUACCAUCCACAUGCACCUUAACUGUGAUGCAGAAAUACAAUAGGAUGAUCCAUCUGUCUACACUUCAAAAUCACAACUCAACCUUAAACAACCCAUAUCUGUUAUGGUAAAACAAUGUGGCGGUUUUCCAGACAGGGCUUAUACUGUUCCUGGGCUAAAAUGCAUGUUUGAGCUACUGUAAUUAAGAAAACACCUUGUACUGACACAUCUCAACAUAUAUCAAUGCCAUUGUUUUGUUUCAAGAUGCACACCAGUCUUGUUUUUGUAAGGUUUGUUUGUAAAAACUAAAAUGUCCUAAUAUAAGUGCCCAGUCCUGGUUUAAUCUAAACCAUUGGUGACCAAACCUGUGUCUUGAGAUCUACUGUCCUGCAGAGUUCAGCUCCAACCCCAAUCAAACACACCUGAACCUGCCAAUCAAGCAUUUCAGGGCAACCUUAAAAUUAUAGUCAGGUGUGUUUGUUAAAGCUGGGUUAGAACUAAAAUAUGCAGGAGGGUAGAUCUCCAGGAACAGGGUUGUUCACCCCUGAUCUAAACAAAGGGUUUCCAAACUGUGUCCUGCAAAGUUUAGCUCUAACCAUAAUCAAACACACCUGAAGCAGCCAAUUAAGGUCUUACUAAGCAUAAUAGAAACUUACUGGCAAGUGCUCUGAUGCAAGUUAGAGCUAAACUCUGCAGGACACCAGCCCUCCAGGACUGAGUUUGGGCACCCCUGACUAAGCCCUGCCUGGGAAACUGCACCAAUGUGUUGAGCUGGCACCAUUGGACAUUACUGCUGCUGAGAAACAACCACAUUUCUCAGCUCUACACAGUGUUGACAUUGAAUGCAUUAUUAUUAUAAAAUGCAUUCAUGUGCACUUUACCAAUACUGUACAUACAUCAACAGCUUCCAGCUAUACACUUGGGAUCAGCUCCUGAUGACUCUCAUAAUGCUGUUUUAUAAUUUAUUGCAGGGUGAUCUUGCUGAAAGGAUAUUUUAUAAACCUUUACAAUGUCACCAGAUGUUACCUGUUGUGAAUAAUUAUUUUAUAAACCUUUACAAUCUCACCAGUUGUUACAUGUUGUGGAUAGUUAUUUUUAUAAACCUUUACAAUUUCACCAGAUGUUACAUGUUGUGAAUGGUUAUUUUUAUAAACCUUUACAAUGUCACCAGUUGUUACAUGUUGUGCAUAGUUAUUUUUAUAAACCUUUACAAUGUCACCAGAUGUUACCUGUUGUGAAAAGUUAUUUUUAUAAACCGUUACAAUGUCACCAGA